CACGUGGAUAACCUACCUAUAAGACUGGGAUAACUUCGGGAAACCGGAGCUAAUACCGGAUAACAUAUUGAACCGCAUGGUUCAAUAGUGAAAGGCGGCUUUGCUGUCACUUAUAGAUGGAUCCGCGCCGUAUUAGCUAGUUGGUAAGGUAACGGCUUACCAAGGCAACGAUACGUAGCCGACCUGAGAGGGUGAUCGGCCACACUGGAACUGAGACACGGUCCAA
rnacentral:rRNA from 1 species